AGUUGAAGAAGACGAAAGACGAG
rnacentral:snRNA from 1 species